rnacentral:lncRNA from 1 species
UUAUUUAUUUGUUUAUUUUAUUUUAUUUUAUUUUAUUUUAUUUUAUUUUAUUUUAUUUUAUUUUAUUUUAUUUUAUUUUAUUUUAUUUUAUUUUAUUUUAUUUUNUUUUAUUUUAUUUAUUUUUUUCUCUGGUUUGGUCUGGUUUGGUCUGGUUUGAUUUGGUUUGCUUUGGUUUAUUUAAUUAAUACACCAGUAAGUUGGAAGCUUGAGCCAUUUGGCCUGAGACAAUGAACCAGAGGAUAUGUGGGGAUUCUGGGGUUUAUGGCAGCCUAUCUUAGGAAAGAAAAUUUACUUGUCUCUUCAGAAAAUGCAGUUUUUUUGGACUUUGCUUUGUCUCAGAACUCAAUCGUGUCUUUAAAUAGCUUUAUCUGAGUAUCUGUAUGCCAGUUGUAAUGAACAUUCAUACUUAGAAAACAGUCCAAGUCCAAAAACGUACAAGAAAGUGUCAUAACAGAGAAGUUUUAGAUGGUUGUCUAGAUAAGAAACAGGUGAGUUUUGAUUAAUCACACAGUUUAUAUCCUUGGUUUCACAGCAAGGCCUGUCCAUGAAGGAGAAGCCAAGUGCUCUGUGAGAUCUGCUUUCCUUCAGAAGGAGCUAUGGGUUUGGGAUCAGGAGUUAUCUGUGAGGGGCACCUGCUAGUCUGUUACUUGGAGAAUAGGUCUCCAUGGCACAGAGACUGAGGAUGCAGGCUGGCCUGACUGAACUAUAACAGAAAUAGAGAUGCUCUUGUGGCAAGACAUACAGAAUUUGGGACUGUUUUGCAUUUCUUGUAGCAAGUUGUUCUGAUUUUCCACUUGUGUGUUUGAAACCUGGCUCACUGACAUGAGAAAAUUUUCUUGUACGUGCAGUCAGUUUGUCUCCUUCUGGUCAGCAUGUCUGCAAGAGAGUGAGGAGCAGCAACAUGUGACGGUCGGACACUUUGAGCGUUUUGAUGUGUAACUAAAUUUAUUGUGGAGCUGCAACUGAAGAUGUCCUGACACAGAGCAAGAGAGAAGAUUGCAUUACAACAAAAUAAAAACAAUCUCUUUCUCA